GGAGGGUACAGCACAGUGGUAGAGCAUGUGCUUAGCAUGCACAAGGUCCUGGGUUCAAUCCCUAGCACCUCCA
rfam:Camelus ferus unplaced genomic scaffold scaffold535, whole genome shotgun sequence.